ACCAUUAGUUUAAAUUAUAUUUAUACAUGCAAGUUUCAGCGCCCCAGUGAGAAUGCCCACAUUGCCUAUUAGCAACAACGGAGCGGGUAUCAGGCACAAAAAAGCCCAUAACACCUUGCUAAGCCACACCCAUACGGGAAUUCAGCAGUAAUAAACAUUGAAUAUAAGUGAAAACUUGAUUCAGCAAUAAUUUAAUAGAGCCGGUAAAUCUCGUGCCAGCCACCGCGGUUAUACGAGGAGCUCAAACUAAUAUAAUGCGGCCCAAAGAGCAGUUAGAGUAUACUAUUAUAGAAUUAAAAAGCUACAAAGCCGUCAUACGCACAAGCAGACUAAAAGCCCACAAACGAAGGUUAUUCUACUACCCUCGAACCCACCACAGCCGGGAAACAAACUGGGAUUAGAUACCCCACUAUGCCCAGCCAUAAACUUUGGAAAUACCCGCCAGAUAAUUACGAGCCACAGCUUAAAAUUCAAAGGACUUGGCGGUGCUUUAUAUCCACCUAGAGGAGCCUGUUCUAUAAUCGAUACCCCCCGAUCAACCUCACCACCCCUUGCCAAUACAGCCUAUAUACCACCGUCCUAGCUAACCCUUUAAAGGAACAAUAGCAAGCAAAAUAACUUUUAGUAAAAAAGUCAGGUCAAGGUGUAGCAUAUGAGGUGGGAAGAAAUGGGCUACAUUUUCUAAACAGAAAACACGAAAUAAUCUAUGAAACAAAAUAUGAAGGAGGAUUUAGUAGUAAAAAGAAAAAAGAGUGUUCUUUUUAAAUAGGUAAUAAAGCACGCACACACCGCCCGUCACCCUCAUCACAAUACAACAACCUAAAUAAAAUAAUAAAAAAAAGAAGAGGAAAG
rnacentral:ncRNA from 1 species